rnacentral:rRNA from 1 species
GACGAAUGCUGGCGGCGUGCUUAACACAUGCAAGUCGAGCGGUAAGGCCCUUCGGGGUACACGAGCGGCGAACGGGUGAGUAACACGUGAGUAAUCUGCCCAUCACUUCGGGAUAACUCCGGGAAACCGGUGCUAAUACCGAAUAUGACCACUUCAGGCAUCUGAUGGUGGUGGAGAGUUCCGGCGGUGAUGGAUGAGCUCGCGGCCUAUCAGCUUGUUGGUGGGGUAGUGGCCUACCAAGGCUUCGACGGGUAGCCGGCCUGAGAGGGUGACCGGCCACACUGGGACUGAGACACGGCCCAGACUCCUACGGGAGGCAGCAGUGGGGAAUAUUGGACAAUGGGCGAAAGCCUGAUCCAGCAACGCCGCGUGAGGGAUGACGGCCUUCGGGUUGUAAACCUCUUUCAGCAGGGACGAAGCGCAAGUGACGGUACCUGCAGAAGAAGCACCGGCCAACUACGUG